AAGAUGGUGUCUCAAACAAGUCCUACAAAUUGAAAGAAUGAUUAAUUUUUAUUAACAAGUAAGGUAUUAAAAUAAAAGUUGAGAAAAUAAAAAAUGUUAUUAUUUUCUUUUAGCAAUAAUAUCUUACCAUAUAUUUUACAUGUACUUAUAUGUAUAUAUAUAAAAAAUUGAAAUAAAUAAACAAAGUAAUAAACCAAAAAAAUAAAUAAUAAAA
rnacentral:lncRNA from 1 species